AUUGAACGCUGGCGGCAGGCCUAACACAUGCAAGUCGAGCGAGUGGCGGACGGGUUAGUAAUGUAUCUGCAUGUGCCCGGUAGAGGGGGAUAACUACUGGACACUGUGGCUAAUACCGCAUACUAUCGGAUAGGCCGAUAUGGGAUUAGCUAGUUGGUGGGGUAAAGGCUCACCAAGGCCACGAUCCGUAGCUGGUUUGAGAGGAUGAACAGCCACACUGGGACUGAGACACGGCCCAGACUCCUACGGGAGGCAGCAGUGGGGAAUAUUGGACAAUGGGCGAAAGCCUGAUCCAGCCAUGCCGCGUGUAUGAAGAAGGCCUUCGGGUUGUAAAGUACUUUUAGUGGGGAGGCGGUACCUGCAGAAUAAGCACCGGCUAACUACGUGCCAGCAGCCGCGGUAAUAC
rnacentral:rRNA from 1 species